UGAUGGUGGGGAUUGCCACCUCUUUUGCUCUUCGGAUGAUGUGGCAAGAUUUCCAUCUGAUUCUUGCAAUUAAGUCAUUCUUUUUCUUUUCAGACUGCCUGGUACUUUAAAUUCUUUUAGUUCAUUUGAGACUUGUGUGUCUAUAAUUCUUGCUACACAGAAGUGAGCAUAACAAGGCUACAAUUUUGCUGCUUAAGUAUGCGACAUGGAGAUUCUUAUAGAUUUCCAUUGAGAAACUUCCUCAAUAUUCUUUUUUUUUUACACUGUUGCUUGUUUUCUUGAAUACUGGAUUGUUUUAAAUAUGUAGAAGUUUGCCGUAUGAUAAUCUUGUUAUAUAGAUGUGGAAAAUUCUUCUGACUACUAUAAUAUCAAAGUUUUGUCCAACUGAAGGCCAUAAAGGCUGUUGAUUGAUCUUCAAGUCAAGAAUUUUGUGGAUUUUGAUCUUACUUUCAACAAGUUAUUGUUGCAAAAGUUCUUGCAUCCUUGCCAUACAUUAAAUUACGAACAGAUUGAGUGCUUCUUGAUAGCUGGUCCAAAACAUUCUGGUGUGCAUAGGUUCUGAAGUUGUGGAACAUAGAACAGGGUACUCUCACCUGGAUGAUAUUAUUAUCUUGUGUAGAAAUUUGAGUCUGAUGCAGUCUUAUGUUAACUUGUAUAGCUUUUCUGAGUUGUGAGUAACCUCAGAAUCAUAAAUCAUCAACUGGCUAUGGCUAGUGAGCUAAUCAUUAUGUAUAAUUUCUUGCACAAGUCGCACCUCAGUUGGGUAUGCUAAACAUUUUUUUUUAGAUUUUUAGGAUGUACAUACAGUAAACAUUUUUUUUUCCUCUCCAUGUCAUUAAUUAGUUAUGCUUGAUAUCAUAAAAAAAACACAAGAAUUUGUUGGCUAGGAGAUCUUCAAACCCUACCAGUGGUUUGUUGGUCAGGUUCUGCAGCCAACCUUUUUUCAUUCUGAUCUAACUUGCUUGCAUGAAUGGUUAGCCUGAGAAUAUCUGCAGUGGAUGGCUAUUGAACAUCCUCAGUUAAAGUUUCCGUCACCUGCAUUCUAGCGAUCCAUUGUGCUUUGGUUGCAUUACUAUCAAUCUGAUCAUGAGGAUGAUUCUGAUCCUGAUUAAUAGUGCUUUCAAGCAUAGACAAAUAAUUGGAGCUGUUUUGCAUCAUGUGAUGCUUCCAUGUUGUGGAUGAAGCAUGAUUGACUUGGUAAAUAAUAUUUUUGGAAGGGCUUGGUUCAAGUGUUUUACUGCAUGCAAACUUUUCUCAUUAUGUCCUGUGCAUUUUCUUUUUGGCCAAGCCUUGAUGAACUUUUCAUGCAAAAUUGCUAUAGGGUAAGAUAGAAAGAUUAGUCAUUCUGAUGACAUGCAGGAAGGUAAAGUUCUUCAAGACAUAACAUAAGCAUUAUAUUACUGUGGCAGUUUGAAUUAUGGCGGCUGCAUUCACCUGCAACUUGAUUCACCUGGGGAGAUGGGUUUGUGAGUAAGUCUUUAUGUACAGGUAAAUCUUUACAUUUUCAACUACACUGUUAGGGCAUGGUUUUAUUUCUAUUGACUUCUCACUAAUGUUAUGCAAAUAAUUUAUGUAUAAAACAUUUAUGAUCACGGUUAUCUUGUGUUUAUUUAUACUCGUUCAUUGAUAGUAAUAGAUGAUGAACGUGUAUGCAUAUAACCCUUCUUUGUCAUGUGCAUUUAUUUAUUUCAUCUCAUCUAAUGAUUGAAACUGACGAAUGCAUUCACUUCCACGUAUAUCUUAAUCAGAGAACAAGCUUGGGAAAGCAAAUAUUCCCUUCUAAUAGUUGUUUUUCUCUAGUGUUGGUGGGGUUAGAUCAUGUGGUGAAUUGUAAAUAUUCUUGAAUGAUUCUGCCCUCUAUAUAGCAGUUGAGAUCCCCUUUAUGAAGUGAUUGCCAUCAUGUGCUGGUUAGAACAAGCUCAUGUGUCUUUCUGGUGAUCAAUGCGGCAUAGGCAUGUGAAUAAACAGCAGUAGAGUUCUGGCUUUUCAUUUAUGUUGAUGUACUGGCUGCAAUAAACUCAGGAAACUGCAAGUAAUUAGACUUCAAUGGCUGCCAAAGUGCAAGCAUGUCUCUUUGAGUUUACGAGAAGACUUAAAAGCUCACAGGAGAUUGAUGAACAAAGCUUGGCCAACCAAGACACUGAGCUGUAAACAACAAGCAUAGGGAAGCAAUCAGCAAUGUGGUGGAAUGGCACAAAUCAAGGACUAGAAAAAGGUGAAGAGGAGGCUCCAACAAGAACCAAUGGGUCUCUGGCCUCUUGUUGGGUUGAGAGGUGCCUACAGAUAUAAACAAAUGAGGGGCUUGAUCAGGGAUGAGUCUCAGCUGAAACCAUGGAUCUAAAAGAAUUUUCUAGGGAAAUGGACAUAAAUAACUGAUGCAAUUGCCAAAGUUACUCUAUCUUUGUUUAUAGGUACUGAAGGUGUGAAUGAGCUGGAGUCCAUGGUGAUUGGUGACUGAAAUCUAAUAAACCAUAUCAAGCACAACAUGUGUUUCUCAGUGCCCUGCCCUGCAGGUUUGGUAUCAAUAACUUUUACAAUUCUAAUUUCUAAGUAUAUGAAAAGCAUAGCAGCAAAACUGAUGACUGAUGACUGAUGACUGAUAAUUUUUUUUUGCGCCGUAAUGUAAUCUAAUGUAAUGCAAUGUAAUGACCACAGCUGUGCGGUAGUUGGUCGGACGGUUGUUGCGUGUAGACGAGCAACGGCUGACGAACUACCAGGCGUAUGGGGUGGUGGCUAUAUUCUUUUUGUUAUCUUCUCCUGUGAAGUCUUAUGGCAAUGCAUUGACAUUGUAGUAUUUUAGUACUUGAGAGUUGAGUCUCAUAUUUUGCCAGGAGGCCAUGAUUCUCAAUUUCUCAUCACAUUUGGCUUUUUAGAGUUGACUUGCUGAAUUCUUAUUAGUUUUUAUGACAGUUGUGAAAUUUCUUGAAGGAAACCAACCUUGUUUA